AAACAACAACCCGCAUCCAAUGUUACUGAUGAAGAAAAGCAGGCCAACAUCCCCGUCAUAGCAUACAGAGUGUACCGUCAAGGAAUUGCUCGCCGCUUACACUAAUCCACAUGGUUUUAUCAGCAUUUUGCAACCAAGCUCUCUACUAACAGGAAGAGACACCUAAGGGUUAUGAUGAAGAUAAGCACUAGAAUUACCAUGAGUUCAGCAAAACAUUGGAAUAUCACUUUCAGAGACAUAAUUGUUGAAUCUGACAAGUUCUUCCAUGGGAGGUAUAUCGAUAAGGAAAGAUAUGUGAAGAUAGCCAACAAGACAAUCCUCGACGUCAGCAGUGAUGUUGAUCCAAGCGGAGUGUACACUCAAGAUAUAUCAUAUAUCUCGAGGCUGGAAACUACCACUGCACAUGUUUAACCUGCUUUAGGCUGAAACACUUUUAAGGAGACACUGGUUCUAGCAGAGGAGUGUACACUCAAGAAGGCACUCAAGAUAAAUCAAAUCUCUGAUAAGAACUAGAAUCACUGCUUCUCGAAUGCAUAAUCCACGAAGGGGAUCAGUUCUCCUUCACCGGUGGUUUAAUCGGCUCUUUCAACUCACUUGCCAGCUUAACUCUCCUAUUUCUUGAGCAAUCCUCUUGAGCAAUGAAAAAAAGUUUUAAAGCUUCUGAUCCAACCAUUUUUUCUGGUCAAACUGAUCCUACCAUUUAUGUUUUCAUAUUAUUGAAACAAUAAAUUCUUCAUUCA